UUAAUUUAAUGUCAGAAUUUAAUGAAAUGAAUUUAAAAUUCAUUAAUAAGAAAUA
rnacentral:tRNA from 1 species